GAUGAACGCUAGCGGCAGGCCUAAUACAUGCAAGUCGAACGGUGUCUUCGGACAUAGUGGCGCACGGGUGCGUAACACGUAUGCAACCUACCUUACAUUGGGGGAUAGCCUUUCGAAAGGGAGAUUAAUACCGCAUAAGACAGUAGCUGGGCAUCCAGCAGCUGUUAAAGAUUUAUCGAUGUAAGCUGGGCAUGCGUCCAAUUAGCUAGUUGGUGAGGUAGCGGCUCACCAAGGCAAUGAUUGGUAGGGGAACUGAGAGGUCAAUCCCCCACACUGGCACUGAGAUACGGGCCAGACUCCUACGGGAGGCAGCAGUAGGGAAUAUUGGGCAAUGGACGCAAGUCUGACCCAGCCAUGCCGCGUGCAGGAUGGAGGCGUUAUGCGUUGUUAACUGCUUUUAUACAGGAAGAAACGACUCUUGCGAGAGGCAUUGACGGUACUGUAUGAAUAAGCACCGGCUAACUCCGUGCCAGCCGCCGCGGUAAUAC
rnacentral:rRNA from 1 species